rfam:Candidatus Taylorbacteria bacterium RIFCSPHIGHO2_01_FTLL_51_15 rifcsphigho2_01_scaffold_19942, whole genome shotgun sequence.
GCCGAGGUAGCUCAGUUGGUAGAGCGCUCGCCUGAAGAGCGAUAGGUCCCCAGUUCGAUCCUGGGCCUCGGCA